GACGAACGCUGGCGGCGUGCCUAAUACAUGCAAGUUGAGCGCUGAAGGUUGGUGCUUGUUCCUACUGGAUUAGCAGCGAACGGGUGAGUAACGCGUGGGUAAUCUGCCUUUGAGCGUGGGACAACUUUUGGAAACGAAUGCUAAUACCGCAUAAAAUCUUUAAACACAAGUUUUAAUUUUGAAAGAUGCAAUUGCAUCCCUUAAAGAUUAUCCCGCGUUGUAUUAGCUUGUUUGUGAGGUAAAGGCUCUACAAGGCGAACAUACAUAACCGACCUGAGAGGGGGAUCGGCCACAUUGGGACUGGGACAAGGCCCAAACUCCCAAGGGGAGGAGCAGUAAGGGAUCUUCGGCAAAGGAGGGAAGUCUGACCGGGGAAAGCCGGGUGAGUGAAGAAGGGUUUCGGAUUGUAAAAAUCUGUUGGUAGAGAAGAAAGAUAGGGGGAAGGGAAAGCGCAUGAAGUGACGGUAACUACUCAGAAAGGGACGGCUAACUACGUG
rnacentral:rRNA from 1 species